GACGAACGCUGGCAGUGUGUCUUACACAUGCAAGUCGGGCGGAUCUCUCUAAUUGCAGCAAUGCAAUUGGAGAGAUCGAGCGGCAAACGGGUGAGUAAUGGAUAGGUAAUCUACCAUAAUGACUGGGAUACCCCCUUGAAAAAGGGAUCAAUACCAGAUAAUGUCAGUUUAAAUACUUUUAAACUGAAGAAAGAUGGCCCAAAGCUAUCACAUUAUGAUGAGCCUAUCUCCUAUCAGCUUGUUGGUGAGGUAAUGGCUCACCAAGGCUAUGACGGGUAGCUGGUCUGAGAGGGAUGGUCAGCCACACUGGAACUUUAGAUACGGUCCAGACUCCUACGGGAGCAGCAGUGGGGAAUCUUGGGCAAUGGGCGAAAGCCUGACCCAGCGACGCCGCGUGAAGGAUGAAGGUCUUCGGAUUGUAAACUUCUUUGAUCAGGGAAGAAGAAAUGACGGUACCUAGAAAACAAGCCACGGCUAACU
rnacentral:rRNA from 1 species